UCUCUCCAUAGUAAACUCUAUCCAAGUCCGCACAACCUAGCUAAGUUGUUGAACCUCUGUAACAGGCUCAGGGUCAGCUACCCCCACACCUGUUUCAUCAACCAUAUCUUCCUCUUCUAUCUCCUGAGGCUCUUCCUCCACUGGUGGAGGUACCUCAUCAACAUGUUGAGGCACGGGUGCACCACGCCUCCUUCUCUGCCUUGCAGUUAUCAACUGUAUAAUAGGGACAUCAUCCUGAUCAUCAUCUACCCUAAGAGUAUCAGUUGUUCG
rnacentral:lncRNA from 1 species